CCUACGGGCGGCAGCAGUGGGGAAUAUUGGUCAAUGGGCGCAAGCCUGACCCAGCAACGCCGCGUGAAGGAAGAAGGCUUUCGGGUUGUAAACUUCUUUUCUCAGGGACGAAGAAAGUGACGGUACCUCAGGAAUAAGCCACGGUUAACUACGUGCCAGCAGCCGCGGUAAUACGUAGGCGGCAAGCGUUAUCCGGAUUUAUUGGGUGUAAAGGGCGUGUAGGCGGGAGCGCAAGUCAGAUGUGAAAACUCAGGGCUCAACCCUGAGCCUGCAUUUGAAACUGGGUUUCUUGAGUGCUGGAGAGGCAAUCGGAAUUCCGUGUGUAGCGGUGAAAUGCGUAGAUAUACGGAGGAACACCAGUGGCGAAGGCGGAUUGCUGGACGGUAACUGACGCUGAGGCGCGAAAGCGUGGGGAGCAAACAGGAUUAGAUACCCUAGUAGUC
rnacentral:rRNA from 1 species